AGCAGUCGCCGCGGUAAUACGAAGGGGGCUAGCGUUGCUCGGAAUUACUGGGCGUAGAGGGCGCGUAGGCGGCCAUUCAAGUUAGAUGUGAAAGCCCUGGGCUCGACCUAGGAAUUGCAUUUGAUACUGUUUGGCUUGAGUUCGGGAGAGGUGAGUGGAAUUCCCAGUGUAGAGGUGAAAUUCGUAGAUAUUGGGAAGAACACCAGUGGCGAAGGCGGCUCACUGGACCGACACUGACGCUGAGGCGCGAAAGCGUGGGGAGCAAACAGGAUUAGAUACCCGCGUAGUCCCUGUCUCUUAUAC
rnacentral:rRNA from 1 species